CUGCUCUUCUUCAUCUUCUUCUUCAGUUCAACCGAUCUCUCUCUGUCUCGUUUUUGAAGGCAAUAGACCGGUUUAAUGAUCUUGUUGUUUCAAUAUAUGUUACUGCUUGUCAUAUCCUUACAAUAUUGUGAAUUGAAGUUUUUUUUUCAACUUAUUAUUUAUAAAUGUUAUGAGUUUAUUUGUAGUGAUUAUAUUGGUUUAAUUAAAGGUAGAUGGGCUCAGUUAUUCUCUUUUCUCACCUGAGUUUUGCUACUCAAAGUCUCAAAAUUGAUUGAUACAAAGACAUAGUAGAAUAGGGUUUUUGUUUUUUGAUUCCUCGUCUUUCUUUGGGAAAACAAACUGAUUAUUUUGUCCUAUACAACACAAUAGUACAGUAGGUGGUUUCAUUCCCUCUUUCAGUAGUAUCAUCACUUAAAAAAAAAAUUGUUUGUGCAUUAUGUCGAAGCAAAUAUUAUUCUUACUUACCAUGGAAUGUCCAGACCCGACGAUUGCUGCAGAAUAAGAGUCAAUUAUUAUAUUUAUAUACCCCUCUUGAAGAGUAUCAGAACAGAAACACCUUAAUCAUAUUUGAACUAUUGAAACUUGUAUGUAUUUUCUUUUCUUUCUUCUGCUUGACUUGUUUUGGCUCUGACUGUUUUCUUUAGUUUCCUUUGAGUUUCAAUACUUAUUGGUAUGGAGCUUUAUUGGGUCAAAACUUGAUAGGUCUGUUUCCUAUUCUAUUACUAAGAAUGGUAAAGCUGAUACUGAUAUUGAUUGAUAGUAAGAUUUUCUCCUGUUCUUAUUUUGUCUCAUAUGCAUUCUGAUUUGGUUGCUUAAUUGGUUAUGGUCAUUCUUGCUAAUCAAUUGAGUUGAGGAUUUUAAACUUUCAGGGAGCAAAGAAUCAGAAAGAAAAAAAUAAAAAGAUUUUGCAACAACAAUCUACUGUAGUAAUCUUGUUAUUCACUUAUUGUUAGACUUCAUUUUUUUUAUUAUCUUUUCUUUAGUCCAUUAUCUCUUUUACUAGAUUUCAUGGGACUGUACCUAUGUAUGAUUAGGUACCAAAUCAUGUUUGGAUAUAUUAUAAUGAAUUCAUACAAAGAUGAGUUUAUUUGUAGUGGUCAUAUUGGUUUAAUUAUAGGUAGUAGUCUCAUUUUUGGUCUCUUGAACCUCGUUAAUUCAUUUUAAUGGAAUCUUAUGAUGUUUUUCUCAACUUUCUCUAGUCAAUGAAAUCUUUUAUUGAACAUGAUAAAGAAGCAGAAUAGGUUGUUUGUUUGUCUUUUUCUCAUUAGUUUUAUUUUUCCUUGUUUUAAAAUGAUCAUUUAUUAACUUAACGAUACAACUUAAUAACAUUAUCUUCAUUACGUGGAUAUACCAUCAAACUUGGAAAUAUGAAUGCUCUAGUUUUAUAUAACUAUCUAUAUAUUUGGGAAAUAAUUGCAUAUUCUCGAUACUUGCCUCAAAUUCAACACUGCUAGAAAUAAUUAGUUCAUACCAAUUCAUUUAUUAUUAUGUUAUUGCCUGAAAUUAGAUGAAAUGCUUCUUGCACUAGUGUUUUUGUUUCUUGUUCUCUUUAACUAAAAGCAUACAUACACGACUGAUGCUACUUCAUGAUUCCCAGAAUGAUGAUGGCAUAAAGAGCUUUUUCCAAGAGGUUCAUGAACUCUAUAUAAGGGUAAAGGGAAGGAAAAACUUGGCCAGCCUUGAGUGGAGAGCUUGGGCGAUGUGAUGUACAUGCAGGGCCGCUUGACCGCCACGGUCAAGGAGUUCUCAGAGGGACUAGGGGUUUACCCUAUUUUUGCCGCUUAGGGCGGCGGGGAUUGUAUAUUUGGAACUGUAGCAACUCUUUUGUAACAUGAACUACUUGUAAACAUUUUAAAAAGGCUCAUGAGCAGUUUAUUUACUUAAUGAAAAGUGCCCUUUCCUUUUUA